UGUUGAUAAACUUAUUCAUUUCUAUUGUUAAAAAUUGGUGUAGUUGAAAAAAUAAUCAGACAAUUAUACGUGGCACACCAUAUGUGCCUCGUGUUGACGUGUAAUGACCAAUUUUUAAUUAAUAGUAAUGGAUGAAAAUUUAAUA
rfam:Gossypium raimondii Chr08_contig_1305, whole genome shotgun sequence.